AUUGAACGCUGGCGGCAUGCCUUACACAUGCAAGUCGAACGGCAGCACGGGUGCUUGCCCCUGGUGGCGAGUGGCGAACGGGUGAGUAAUACAUCGGAACAUGUCCUGUAGUGGGGGAUAGCCCGGCGAAAGCCGGAUUAAUACCGCAUACGAUCUACGGAUGAAAGCGGGGGACCUUCGGGCCUCGCGCUAUAGGGUUGGCCGAUGGCUGAUUAGCUAGUUGGUGGGGUAAAGGCCUACCAAGGCGACGAUCAGUAGCUGGUCUGAGAGGACGACCAGCCACACUGGGACUGAGACACGGCCCAGACUCCUACGGGAGGCAGCAGUGGGGAAUUUUGGACAAUGGGCGAAAGCCUGAUCCAGCAAUGCCGCGUGUGUGAAGAGGGCCUUCGGGUUGUAAAGCACUUUUGUCCGGAAAGAAAUCCUUGGCCCUAAUACGGUCGGGGGAUGACGGUACCGGAAGAAUAAGCACCGGCUAACUACGUG
rnacentral:rRNA from 1 species